AGGACGAACGCUGGCGGCGUGCCUAACACAUGCAAGUCGAACGCGCUCCAUUCGGUAGCAAUACUGAUGAAGAGUGAGUGGCGAACGGGUGAGUAACACAUGAGCAACCUGCCCCGAAGACUGGGACAACACCGGGAAACCGGUGCUAAUACCGGAUAUCCCUAUCGGACCGCAUGAUCUGAUAAGGAAAUGGAUUCCGCUUCGGGAGGGGCUCGUGGCCUAUCAGCUAGUUGGUGAGGUAACGGCUCACCAAGGCAUCGACGGGUAGCUGGUCUGAGAGGACGAUCAGCCACACUGGGACUGAGACACGGCCCAGACUCCUACGGGAGGCAGCAGUGGGGAAUCUUGCGCAAUGGGCGAAAGCCUGACGCAGCAACGCCGCGUGGAGGACGAAGGCUUUCUGAGUUGUAAACUCCUUUCAGCAGGGACGAUAGUGACGGUACCUGCAGAAGAGCACCGGCCAACUACGUGCCAGCA
rnacentral:rRNA from 1 species